rnacentral:rRNA from 1 species
CCCUUCACUACGGAAUAGUCCCGGGAAACUGGGUUUAAUACCGUAUACGCCCUUCGGGGGAAAGAAUUUCGGUGAGGGAUCGGCCCGCGUUAGAUUAGUUAGUUGGUGGGGUAAUGGCCUACCAAGACUACGAUCUAUAGCUGGUUUGAGAGGAUGAUCAGCAACACUGGGACUGAGACACGGCCCAGACUCCUACGGGAGGCAGCAGUGGGGAAUCUUAGACAAUGGGGGCAACCCUGAUCUAGCGAUGCCGCGUGAGUGAUGAAGGCCUUAGGGUCGUAAAGCUCUUUCGCCUGUGAUGAUAAUGACAGUAGCAGGUAAAGAAACCCCGGCUAACUCCGUGCCAGCAGCCGCGGUAAUACGGAGGGGGUUAGCGUUGUUCGGAAUUACUGGGCGUAAAGCGCACGUAGGCGGAUUAGUCAGUCAGAGGUGAAAUCCCAGGGCUCAACCCUGGAACUGCCUUUGAUACUGCUAGUCUUGAGUUCGAGAGAGGUAAGUGGAAUUCCGAGUGUAGAGGUGAAAUUCGUAGAUAUUCGGAGGAACACCAGUGGCGAAGGCGGCUUACUGGCUCGAUACUGACGCUGAGGUGCGAAAGUGUGGGGAGCAAACAGGAUUAGAUACCCUGGUAGUCCACACCGUAAACGAUGAAUGCCAGUCGUCGGGUAGCAUGCUAUUCGGUGACACACCUAACGGAUUAAGCAUUCCGCCUGGGGAGUACGGUCGCA